CCUACGGGAGGCAGCAGUGAGGAAUAUUGGUCAAUGGACGAAAGUCUGAACCAGCCAAGUAGCGUGAAGGAUGAAUGCCCUAUGGUUUGUAAACUUCUUUUAUAUGGGAAUAAAAUGUUCCACGUGUGGGAUUUUGUAUGUACCAUAUGAAUAAGGAUCGGCUAACUCCGUGCCAGCAGCCGCGGUAAUACGGAGGAUCCGAGCGUUAUCCGGAUUUAUUGGGUUUAAAGGGAGCGUAGGUGGAUUGUUAAGUCAGUUGUGAAAGUUUGCGGCUCAACCGUAAAAUUGCAGUUGAAACUGGCAGUCUUGAGUAUAGUAGAGGUGGGCGGAAGUCGUGGUGUAGCGGUGAAAUGCUUAGAUAUCACGAAGAACUCCGAUUGCGAAGGCAGCUUACUGGACCGCAACUGACACUGAGGCUCGAAAGUGUGGGUAUCAAACAGGAUUAGAUACCCCUGUAGUC
rnacentral:rRNA from 1 species